rnacentral:rRNA from 1 species
UACGAAGGGGGCUAGCGUUGUUCGGAAUUACUGGGCGUAAAGCGUAUGCAGGCGGAUCGUUAAGUCGGGGGUGAAAUCCCGAGGCUCAACCUCGGAACUGCCUUCGAUACUGGCGACCUUCGAGUCCGGGAGAGGUGAGUGGAACUCCGAGUGUAGAGGUGAAAUUCGUAGAUAUUCGCAAGAACACCAGUGGCGAAGGCGGCUCACUGGUCCGGUACUGACGCUGAGGUGCGAAAGCGUGGGGAGCAGACAGG